UAAUACAUGCAAGUCGAACGAGACCUUCGGGUCUAGUGGCGCACGGGUGCGUAACGCGUGGGAAUCUGCCCUUGGGUUCGGAAUAACUUCGGGAAACUGAAGCUAAUACCGGAUGAUGACGUAAGUCCAAAGAUUUAUCGCCCAGGGAUGAGCCCGCGUAGGAUUAGCUAGUUGGUGGGGUAAAGGCCUACCAAGGCGACGAUCCUUAGCUGGUCUGAGAGGAUGAUCAGCCACACUGGGACUGAGACACGGCCCAGACUCCUACGGGAGGCAGCAGUAGGGAAUAUUGGACAAUGGGCGAAAGCCUGAUCCAGCAAUGCCGCGUGAGUGAUGAAGGCCUUAGGGUUGUAAAGCUCUUUUACCCGAGAUGAUAAUGACAGUAUCGGGAGAAUAAGCUCCGGCUAACUCCGUGCCAGCAGCCGCGGUAAUACGGAGGGAGCUAGCGUUGUUCGGAAUUACUGGGCGUAAAGCGCACGUAGGCGGCGAUUUAAGUCAGAGGUGAAAGCCCACGGCUCAACC
rnacentral:rRNA from 1 species